rnacentral:lncRNA from 1 species
CCCAGCAUCUGACAUACCAUUGUAGGUUUCCCUGUAAUACAGACUCUAACAAGAAAUGGCUAUCCAGAACCCCUGUUAAUCUUUAUUCCAAGAAACUUAGAAAAGCACCCAAAUCCACACAUGGUGCGUGCCCAGGCAGACUUUGAGGAGUUUGUGCUCUGAGAACUAAAGUCCUAGGGAACCUGCCUAAAACAACAACAACAAUGGGUGACCCCACCUGUGCUAAAUAUGCCCAUGACAGGAUCUGGCAUUCUUUCCUUAUUGAGGAGCAGAAAACCAGUGUGUAAGUGUUGACAGCACAAAUACAGAGUCAGAAAAC